rnacentral:tRNA from 1 species
GUGUAGCUCAAUGGAAGAGCACCUGCCUAGCAAGCAGGACCCCCUGGGUUCGGUUCCCAGCAC